rnacentral:rRNA from 1 species
GAUGAACGCUGGCGGCGUGCCUAAUACAUGCAAGUCGAGCGAACAGACGAGGAGCUUGCUCCUCUGACGUUAGCGGCGGACGGGUGAGUAACACGUGGAUAACCUACCUAUAAGACUGGGAUAACUUCGGGAAACCGGAGCUAAUACCGGAUAACAUGUUGAACCGCAUGGUUCAACAGUGAAAGACGGUUUUGCUGUCACUUAUAGAUGGAUCCGCGCCGCAUUAGCUAGUUGGUAAGGUAACGGCUUACCAAGGCAACGAUGCGUAGCCGACCUGAGAGGGUGAUCGGCCACACUGGAACUGAGACACGGUCCAGACUCCUACGGGAGGCAGCAGUAGGGAAUCUUCCGCAAUGGGCGAAAGCCUGACGGAGCAACGCCGCGUGAGUGAAGAAGGUCUUCGGAUCGUAAAACUCUGUUAUUAGGGAAGAACAAAUGUGUAAGUAACUAUGCACGUCUUGACGGUACCUAAUCAGAAAGCCACGGCUAACUAUGUG